rnacentral:rRNA from 1 species
UACGGGGGGGGGCAAGCGUUGUUCGGAAUUACUGGGCGUAAAGGGCUCGUAGGCGGCCAACUAAGUCAGACGUGAAAUCCCUCGGCUUAACCGGGGAACUGCAUCUGAUACUGGAUGGCUUGAGUUCGGGAGAGGGAUGUGGAAUUCCAGGUGUAGCGGUGAAAAUGCGUAGAUAUCGUAAGGAAGACCAGUGGCGAAGGCGGGUCUCUGGACAGUUCCUGACGCUGAGGCACGAAAGGGUCAGGGGGGGAGCAAAACGGGG